AUUGAACGCUGGCGGCAGGCCUAACACAUGCAAGUCGAACGAGUGGCGGACGGGUGAGUAAUGUCUGGGAAACUGCCCGAUGGAGGGGGAUAACUACUGGAAACGGUAGCUAAUACCGCAUACCAUCGGAUCUGCCCAGAUGGGAUUAGCUAGUGGGUGGGGAAAAGGCUCACCUAGGCGACGAUCCCCAGCUGGUCUGAGAGGCUGACCAGCCAAACUGGAACUGAGACACGGCCCAGACUCAUACGUGAGGCAGCAGUGGGGAAUAUUUGGCAAUGGGCGAAAGCCUGAUGCAGCAAUGCCGCGUGGAUGAAGAAGGCCUUCGGGUUGUAAAGUACUUUCAGCGGGGAGGCGUUACCCGCAGAAGAAGCACCGGCUAACUCCGUGCCAGCAGCCGCGGUAAUUC
rnacentral:rRNA from 1 species